GUGCUCACUACAGCAGCACCUAUACUAAAACUAGAACAAUACAAAGAUUAGCAUAACCUCUGUACAAGGAUGACAUGCAAAUUCAUGAAGUGUUUCAUAUUUUU